AGCAGCCGCGGUAAUUCCAGCUCCAAUAGCGUAUAUUAAAGUUGUUGCAGUUAAAAAGCUCGUAGUUGAAUUUCGGGAUCAAUAUGUUGGUCGUGCCUCGGUACGUACUAGCAUAUUGGUUUUUCCUUUCUGAAGAACCAUGAUGUCAUUUAUUUGGUGUCGUGGGGAAUCAGGACUGUUACUUUGAAAAAAUUAGAGUGUUUAAAGCAGGCUCACGCUUGAAUACAUUAGCAUGGAAUAAUGAAAUAGGACGUUUGAUUCUAUUUUGUUGGUUUCUAGGAUCGACGUAAUGAUUAGUAGGGAUAGUUGGGGGCAUUAGUAUUCAAUUGUCAGAGGUGAAAUUUCUUGGAUUUAUUGAAGACUAACUACUGCGAAAGCAUUUGCCAAGGAUGUUUUCAUUAAUCAAGAACGAAAGUUAGGGGAUCGAAGACGAUCAGAUACCGUCGUAGUCUUAACCAUAAACUAUGCCGACUAGGGAUCGGAUAAUGUUAAUUUUUAAUGUACUCAUUCGGCGUCCUUA
rnacentral:misc_RNA from 1 species